rnacentral:rRNA from 1 species
AUUGAACGCUGGCGGCAGGCCUAACACAUGCCAGUCGAGCGGAUGAAGGGAGCUUGCUCCUGGAUUCAGCGGCGGACGGGUGAGUAACGCCUAGGAAUCUGCCUGGUAGUGGGGGAUAACGUCCGGAAACGGGCGCUAAUACCGCAUACGUCCUGAGGGAGAAAGUGGGGGAUCUUCGGACCUCACGCUAUCAGAUGAGCCUAGGUCGGAUUAGCUAGUUGGUGGGGUAAAGGCCUACCAAGGCGACGAUCCGUAACUGGUCUGAGAGGAUGAUCAGUCACACUGGAACUGAGACACGGUCCAGACUCCUACGGGAGGCAGCAGUGGGGAAUAUUGGACAAUGGGCGAAAGCCUGAUCCAGCCAUGCCGCGUGUGUGAAGAAGGUCUUCGGAUUGUAAAGCACUUUAAGUUGGGAGGAAGGGCAGUAAGUUAAUACCUUGCUGUUUUGACGUUACCAACAGAAUAAGCACCGGCUAACUUCGUG